UACAGAGGGUGCAAGCGUUGUUCGGAAUUAUUGGGCGUAAAGCGCGUGUAGGCGGCUUUGCAAGUCGGGUGUGAAAGCCCUCGGCUCAACCGAGGAAGUGCGCCCGAAACUGCGGAGCUGGAGUGCCGGAGAGGGUAGCGGAAUUCCCCAAGUAGAGGUGAAAUUCGUAGAUAUGGGGAGGAACACCGGUGGCGAAGGCGGCUACCUGGACGGUGACUGACGCUGAGACGCGAAAGCGUGGGGAGCAAACAGG
rnacentral:rRNA from 1 species